GCGUUGGUGGUAUAGUGGUGAGCAUAGCUGCCUU
rnacentral:piRNA from 5 species